rnacentral:rRNA from 1 species
CCUGGUUGAUCCUGCCAGUAGUCAUAUGCUUGUCUCAAAGAUUAAGCCAUGCAUGUGUAAGCACACACUGUUUUAAAAGUGAAGCCGCGAAUGGCUCAUUACAACAGCCACAGUUUAUUAGAACUUACAUACAUGGAUAACUGUGGUAAUUCUAGAGCUAAUACACGCACAAAAACUUCAACUAUACAAUGGUUGAAGUGCUUUUAUUAGAACAAAAACCGAACGGCGUUCGACUUGUGUUGAACGUCGAAACUCUUUGGUGAAUCUGAAUAACUAUUUCUGAUCGCAUGGUCUAGCACCGGCGACAUCACUUUCAAGUGUCUGCCUUAUCAACCUUCGAUGGUAGUCUAUGCGACUACCAUGGUGAUAACGGGUAACGGAGAAUCAGGGUUCGACUCCGGAGAGGGAGCCUGAGAAACGGCUACCACAUCCAAGGAAGGCAGCAGGCGCGCAAAUUACCCACUCCCAGCUUGGGGAGGUAGUGACGAAAAAUAACGAGACGAUUCUCGUUUGAGAAACGUUAUCGAAAUGAGUACGCUUUACACACGCUAACGAGUAGCAAUUGGAGGGCAAGUCUGGUGCCAGCAGCCGCGGUAAUUCCAGCUCCAAUAGCGUAUAUUAAAGUUGCUGCGGUUAAAACGCUCGUAGUUGAAUUGUGGUCUUAGACAACAGUCCCCCUAUAUAGGUGUGGCACGGUUGCUCGAGAUCUUCAUUCGUGGUUGCUGUUGUUGCUCUUCAUUGAGUGUCAAUGGUGCCUCGAGAUUUUACUUUGAAAAAAUUAGAGUGCUCAAAGCAGGUUGUGAUGCCUGAAUAAUGGUGCAUGGAAUAAUAGAAUACGAUCUCGGUUCUAUUUUGUUGGUUUUCGAACCGGAGAUAAUGAUUGAAAGGAACAGACGGGGGCAUUCGUAUUGCUGCGUUAGAGGUGAAAUUCUUGGAUCGCAGCAAGAUGAACAAUUGCGAAAGCAUUUGCCAAGAAUGUUUUCAUUAAUCAAGAACGAAAGUUAGAGGUUCGAAGGCGAUCAGAUACCGCCCUAGUUCUAACGGUAAACUAUGCCAACCAGCGAUUCGCCGAAGUUCAUUUAAGACUCGGCGAGCAGCUUCCGGGAAACCAAAGUGUUUCGGUUCCGGGGGAAGUAUGGUUGCAAAGCUGAAACUUAAAGGAAUUGACGGAAGGGCACCACCAGGAGUGGAGCCUGCGGCUUAAUUUGACCCAACACGGGAAAACUCACCCGGCCCGGACACUGAAAGGAUUGACAGAUUGACAGCUCUUUCUUGAUUCAGUGGGUAGUGGUGCAUGGCCGUUCUUAGUUGGUGGAGCGAUUUGUCUGGUUAAUUCCGAUAACGAACGAGACUCUACCCUAUUAAAUAGUGACAGUAUUGCAUAUUCUGUGCUGAUCACUUCUUAGAGGGACUGGCAAAUUGAAAGCUGCACGAAAAAGAGCAAUAACAGGUCUGUGAUGCCCUUCGAUGUCCGGGGCUGCACGCGCGCUACAAUGAAAGCGUCAACGUGAGUUACGUCCUUACCUGAAAAGGUUUGGCAAUCGAUUGAAACGUUUUCUUGAAUGGAAUAGGGAAUUGCAAUUGUUUCCCUUGAACGAGGAAUUCCCAGUAAGCGUGAGUCAUUAGCUCGCGUUGAUUACGUCCCUGCCCUUUGUACACACCGCCCGUCGCUACUACCGAUUGGAUGAUUUAGUGAGGUGUUUUGACUAGCGCCUGUAGUCGGAUGUAUAUUCGGCUUCGCGCCGGGAAAUUUCCCAAACCAAAUCAUCUAGAGGAAGUAAAAGUCGUAACAAGGUUUCCGUAGGUGAACCUGCGGAAG